UAAUACGUAGGGUGCAAGCGUUAAUCGGAAUUACUGGGCGUAAAGCGUGCGCAGGCGGUUCUGUAAGUCUGUCGUGAAAUCCCCGGGCUUAACCUGGGAAUUGCGAUGGAGACUGCAAGGCUAGAAUCUGGCAGAGGGGGGUAGAAUUCCACGUGUAGCAGUGAAAUGCGUAGAGAUGUGGAGGAACACCGAUGGCGAAGGCAGCCCCCUGGGUCAAGAUUGACGCUCAUGCACGAAAGCGUGGGGAGCAAACAGGAUUAGAUACCCUGGUAGUCCACGCCCUAAACGAUGUCUACUAGUUGUCGGGUCUUAAUUGACUUGGUAACGCAGCUAACGCGUGAAGUAGACCGCCUGGGGAGUACGGUCGCAGGAUU
rnacentral:rRNA from 1 species